GCCUUCUUAGUGUAAUGGUCAGCACGCUCAACGCGUAUUCGAGAGGGACGAGGUUCGAGUUCCUCCGAGGGCA
rnacentral:tRNA from 1 species